UGAUCAUGGCUCAGGAUGAACGCUAGCUACAGGCUUAACACAUGCAAGUCGAGGGGCAGCAUGGUCUUAGCUUGCUAAGGCCGAUGGCGACCGGCGCACGGGUGAGUAACACGUAUCCAACAAGCUGUCUACUCUUGGACAGCUUUCUGAAAGGAAGAUUAAUACAAGAUGGCAUCAUGAGUCCGCAUGUUCACAUGAUUAAAGGUAUUCCGGUAGACGAUGGGGAUGCGUUCCAUUAGAUAGUAGGCGGGGUAACGGCCCACCUAGUCUUCGAUGGAUAGGGGUUCUGAGAGGAAGGUCCCCCACAUUGGAACUGAGACACGGUCCAAACUCCUACGGGAGGCAGCAGUGAGGAAUAUKGGUCAAUGGGCGAGAGCCUGAACCAGCCAAGUAGCGUGAAGGAUGACUGCCCUAUGGGUUGUAAACUUCUUUUAUAAAGGAAUAAAGUCGGGUAUGGAUACCCGUUUGCAUGUACUUUAUGAAUAAGGAUCGGCUAACUCCGUGCCAGCAGCCGCGGUAAUACGGAGGAUCCGAGCGUUAUCCGGAUUUAUUGGGUUUAAASGGAGCGUASAUGGAUGUUUAAGUCAGUUGUGAAAGUUUGMGGCUCAACCGUAAAAUUGCAGUUGAUACUGGAUAUCUUGAGUGCAGUUGAGGCAGGCGGAAUUCGUGGUGUAGCGGUGAAAUGCUUAGAUAUCACGAGGAACUCCGAUUGCGAAGGCAGCCUGCUAAGCUGCAACUGACAUUGAGGCUCGAAAGUGUGGGUAUCAAACAGGAUUAGAUACCCUGGUAGUCCACACGGUAAACGAUGAAUACUCGCUGUUUGCGAUAUACGGCAAGCGGCCAAGSGAAAGCGUUACGUAUUCCAACUGGGGAGUACACCGGCAACGGUGAAACUCAGCCGAAUUGAC
rnacentral:rRNA from 1 species